CGAGCGAAGCUUUUCAGUAGUUUACUACAGAAAAUGACUGAGCGGCGAACGGGUGAGUAACGCGUGAGCAAUCUACCUUAGUUACAGGGAUAGCCCGAGGAAACUCGGAUUAAUACCUGAUAUUCUUUAUAUUUCGCAUGAAAUUAAAAGGAAAGGUCAGCCGAACUAAGAUGAGCUCGCGUUCUAUCAGCUAGUUGGUGAGGUAAAAGCUCACCAAGGCUACGACGGAUAGCUGGUCUGAGAGGACGAUCAGCCACACUGGGACUGAGACACGGCCCAGACUCCUACGGGAGGCUGCAGCAGGGAAUAUUAUGCAAUGAACGAAAGUUUGACACAGCGACACCGCGUGUGGGAUGACGGAUCUAGGUUUGUAAACCACUUUCAGGAGGGAAGAAAAUGACGGUACCUCCACAAGAAGCCCCGGCCAACUACGUGCCAGCAGCCGCGGUAAUACGUAGGGGGCGAGCGUUGUCCGGAUUUAUUGGGCGUAAAGAGCUCGUAGGCGGUUCAGCAAGUCGUUCGUGAAAGUUCAGGGCUCAACCCUGAAAUGUCGAUCGAUACUGUUGUGACUAGGAUACGGUAGAGGUGAGUGGAAUUCCGAGUGUAGCGGUGAAAUGCGUAGAUAUUCGGAGGAACACCAAUUGCGAAGGCGGCUCACUGGGCCGCUAUCGACGCUGAGGAGCGAAAGCUAGGGGAGCAAACAGGAUUAGAUACCCUGGUAGUCCUAGCUGUAAACGAUGGAUACUAGACGUAGGAACUGGAUUGACGGUUUCUGUGUCGCAGCUAACGCGUUAAGUAUCCCGCCUGGGGAGUACGGUCGCAAGACUAAAACUCAAAGGAAUUGACGGGACCCCGCACAAGCGGCGGAGCAUGCGGCUUAAUUCGAUGAUACCCGUAGAACCUUACCUGGACUUGACAUAUAGGGUCUAGCUAUAGAGAUAUAGUGU
rnacentral:rRNA from 1 species